rnacentral:rRNA from 1 species
CCGCACGGUAAACGAUGGACACCCGCUGUCGGCGAUACACUGUCGGCGGCCAAGCGAAAGCGUUAAGUGUCCCACCUGGGGAGUACGCCGGCAACGGUGAAACUCAAAGGAAUUGACGGGGGCCCGCACAAGCGGAGGAACAUGUGGUUUAAUUCGAUGAUACGCGAGGAACCUUACCCGGGCUUGAAUUGCAACUGAAUUAUCUGGAAACAGGUAAGCCGCAAGGCAGUUGUGAAGGUGCUGCAUGGUUGU